UGCUCUUCGGCGUAAAAAGAAUACAAGAAAAAAUGCUGAAUCAGGACAAAAAAUCAUUAAACUCCAGAAAUAGAAGGAAACAUAGUAAGUUUUUCAUCUCCUACCACGUACAGUUUCAUAGCAAAAUUUAAGUACACUUUGCAUUCAGUGCUAGUCACUAAGAUUUUGUUGUGCUGGGUAAACCAGAUCUAUCAGGAAUUGAUCUGUCACACUUCUUGCAAACUUCAUAGUACUGUCACUCUGUAUUUUACCGCUGUUCUUUUCUUUGUAGAAGUCAAGUGUGUAAUUUGCAUCGUUGCUCUGAAAGUAAAUUGCUAUUGAGUCUUGACACCUGCCAGCACUGGUGUUCAUUUCAAGCUGUAAAACACUACUUUGAAAUAAAUUUGGGGAAACUCAUUAAAUGUUGUCAGCUGUAUCAUCCAUACUAACAGAAAAUAAUGUAGCUAAAUGCGUCUGGUUUCUAUUUCCUAUUCAAAAAUGAACAAAGCUUCUUAAAACCUUCUUUCCAAUACUUUAAAAGUUUUUUUCUAAAUCUAAAUCCACUGAUUUUUACCAGUUUUAUGCACACGCUAUUUUCCCCAUUUGUUCUUAUAUCAGAAAUAUGUUCAGUUUCUGUUUUUAUACUUAGGAAGUUCGACAUCCAAUUAAAGGAUUAACUGGGCCAAAUCUGACAAGAACUCUGAAUAUGAAAUUCCCCUAGACUGUGAUAUUUCCAAAUUCAGAUGUAAACUAAAUUUAACCAUAUUAAUACAACACAGUGCUUAAAGUCAGCAGAACCUGGGUUUUGACCCUGGCUGUUGCUGGUUAACUCCCUAGGAUUUCAGAGGUGUGGAGUGUAAAAAUCCAAGGAAAUAAUUUAGACCUAAGUGUAGGAAUUGUAUAAAUGCUUAUGAUUGCUUCUUUACUCAUUUCUAACAACAAUCUCCCUUACCGAGCAGAUUUAUCUUCUCCACCUUUAGGUUCACAUUUUCUAAAUAACUUUAGUGAAUCUGGAUUGAGAUGUGUCAUACAUCUUAUUCUUGCGGUAAUUUUCAUUAUUAAAACAAAGGUGUUUUUAAUCAUGUGUAAUCAGCAGAUGAUUUGAGCUGGGAAGUGUAUAUAAAUUAAUACUAAUUUACUGUGGUGUUGAUAGAUUUAUUUUUCAAAAGGUUGUAAGAAGAGCAUGAGAGGAAGAAAACCACUCAUGAGCUUGAUGUACCCUUCAUACUUGUGUUCCCACAAACCAGAAUCACCAAAUCUAGUUCAAGAAAAUAUUUUUAUUAUUAUUAUUAUUAUUAUUUUGUCCCUGAAGGUAGAUAACUAUGAUGUAGUAAUGCUUUACAGAUAACUGUGAUCAUACCACUUUUUUUUUCUUGAACCUCCACCAACUCCAAUCAUGCAGAGUUCAAACUUCUUGCCUUAAUAUACAGGUCCCUUAAAAUUCUGUGUGCCUCACUGGAUGGAGUUAGUAUCCCAAUACCUCCUGUUUCAUAAGGGAGUUCAAUUUUGAUCCUAUGCCUGAGUGUUUGUAUUUGAGUUCAUUCUGUCCAGUCACUCCUUUCUUUCACUGAAUUAAUCUUUUAAAUUAUUACUUACUAAUGUCUCCUUUAAAUCCUUUCUCAGGAUCUGCCUAUUCCAGAAGCAGUGUGUAAAGGGCUAGCCAAAAAGAAACCUUAGAUGGUUGCUGGCCUAAGGCAUAUAUUAAAAGUAAAGCCAGCAAUUGUUUCUAAUCUGUAAAUUCGUUUGACAUUAUAUGUUGUAAGCUCAUGAGGAGAAAAAAAAAAAAAAAAAAAAAAGACAGUGUAUAACUUUUUAUAAUACUUAUUAUAAAUACUUAUUUUUGCUGCAGAACUUGACUGUGGCAAAAUAGUAAACUGAUAGGUCUACCCAAAAUGAAUAUAUUAAUAGUCAUUGUUCUUGAUAAGUAGAUGAUUUUCAGUCAAAGAUGCAUUAAAAUUUUGUAAGGAGUGAUGUGACCUCCAUAACACUAGUCCCUCUCAUAGGUCAUGCAGAUGCUUUACUGUGGCUGAGAGGAAGUACUGAAAGCAGGUAAAAAGUAGAAGUUGCCCUGGAAGUCCUCAGGGAAUCAUUCAAACAGUAUUAGACAAUAUUCAUAUAAUCAUUUAUGUUGGAAAAGACUUUCAAGAUCAUCAUGUUCAAGCAUCAACCUGACCUACUGAGUCCCAUCACUAAUCAUGUCCCUUAGUGCCAGAUUAUUGUUAUAAUGAAGUCUCUGAAUUUCUGUUCUGUGAGAACAGAAAUUGAAAUUAGCAGGAGGGGAGCUGCUGGGAGGAUGGAAGAGUCAUAGAUAACAGUUUGGGGGCACAGGCCCCCAAGUGGAGAAUAGUGGCCUCAAGCAGAGGCGUUAAGUCAGCAUUCCCAGGCUGAAAAAUCACCACUGACACAAAUUCAAGCUUCCUGCCCUAAUGGAGCCAUCUGAUGGAAAUUUUGAAAAAGGGAGUUGGACCAUGAUCUUAUAAAUAAGAACAGAUUUUCUGAAGAGGGAAUAAAGCAGCUGUAUGCAUUUACUGAGUCUUCUUUACAGUGAAAUGUCACAGUACUAUUGAUAUGCUUUGCAAGUUCCUCUAUCCAAAACUAUUAGGGUGUAAGCAGUUUGAUUACAGAAUGAUAGGAAGCAAAUCUGCCUUGUGGUAUGUCAAGACAAGUGUCUUAACUCUUGUGCAAAUACCUACUAGACACAUUAAGGAAAAAAAAAAAUCUAUAUUGAAAAUCUAGUUGUUAAUAGCCUAGUGAUUAAGCAUUAAACAGAUGGCAAAAUAAGACACGAGAAUUUUGCUACUGUUGGUAAUUAACUGUGCUUACGGCUUUGCAUGUACAUCUAACCUCAGGAACAGAAUGAUAGCCACUGAACUUGAAGCUGGAUCAAGUCAUUUUAAAGCAUUGCAUUUUCUUGGAUCUCCAUAGUAACCUCCCUGCCAUUUAUCUAUCCAAAUCAGUUGAAUCUAGGCAUAAGUCCAUGGGGGACUUAGAGGGGAACAAAACUCCAUAUUGUUGCCUUUUCAAACAUAAAUCAGAUAUGUUUUUAAAAUUUUCUACUUUAAUGUUUUACAUGUACAGUGGUAUAAAUCUCAAUGUUUUAGCUUUUCUGUAUAUGCUGUAGAUUACACCUGGCUGCCUGACAGAAAGCUGUCAAAGUAAAUGACCAGAAUUAAUUACCACUUGGUACAGUAAAACUUAAAUAGGGAUGCAGAACUCAAAAGAGCUCCAUGGAAUAAUGUACUCAUAUACAGCUCUCUAAAUUAUGGUUAAUUAGGUAUAUAAACAAAUCUUUUCAAUACACUGUGGCAGUAUGGAAGUAAAUUGUCAUUUUAAAUUAAAAUCUCAUUAGUAAACUAGUAUAUAUUUUAGUAUCUGAAAUAUUCUUGUGUUUGUACUGAUGCCAUGUUAUUGACUUAACUGUCAGUGUUCUCUAGUCACCUGAAGUGGAUAAUAAUAAAGAAAGAUGUGAAAUGAUUCCAUUCAUUCUGGUUUUCAACUUACACCUCUUCCCAGUGCUGCAAACCCAAGGGAAAAGAAUUCCAUUAUUAAGUCUGAAGCCUAAGAUUCCACUGCCUCAGCUACUAAGAGGAUUUUAGAAAAUGGACAAACCCGCCUACAAGAGGCUGAAGAGAGGAAAAAUAGACAGUUUACAGUCCUAGGGGGAUUAAUAAAUCUUCCCGUAUUCCUUGGAAUCCCAUUGAACUAAAGUUACAGUAAGGCCAUGGAGACAAAGGUCUUAUGCUUCUUGCUUUCCUGAUCAAAGUGGAUUUUUUUUUUUUUUUUUUUUUGAGAGAGCAAAUGAUAUUUUCCCCCGCUUAUUUUAUCUCUAAAUUGCUGUGCCAUGGUUUGUUUAGUAGUUGGAAACUUCAGAACUUCAAGUUUACAAAUUAAUUUACCAAAGAAAAUAUUAAAUUGACGACAAUAGUUUUGAAGCUGCAGUGUUUAGGAUGUCUUACAUAUUGAAAGUACAUAUUUCUGUGAUAAUGUGGGAGAAUAUGGAAAAUAUUUCUGUAGUCAAAAAAAGCACGCUGUUUAGGCUGGAAAAAAAAAAAAA